ACCUUCUCCAAGAGUUUGUCUUCAAAAUGCUCAUAGGCCUCGGAAAAUUUAAAUUCUAAAUUUUUGUGUUCCUGAUAAGCGGCCAGUUGUUUAUCCAAAGCUUUGGAUUUAAAAUCUAGCACGUAGACCUUGGCUUCCAGUUGGUCACUUUUGCUUCCCAAAUUGGCUGUUUGAAUAUCUGAAAAUUUUUACAAAUAUUGAGUUGGUACACAAUUGAUAUUGCAUCUCCUCAACUCACUUUUUGUUUUUAUAGAAGCUGCCAGCGCUUCAUAUUCUUUUUUACGUUCGCCCAAGCGCUGAUACAUUUCGCUGUGUCUCUUCCUUAAGUCCUGCAAUUGAAGCUGGAUUUGCAUUUCUUGUGGCAAAAAGGAGCGUUCACAAGCCUGCAAGCAUAUGAAGAUAAUUAUUGGGUUUGGAAAUGAUGAUAGCCUCUACUUACCGAAAUAAUUUGUCCCUUUAUUUUCUCGGCUUUAUGUAUAAGAAUAUUUUCCUUAAUUUCAUUUACUUCUUGACGUGGUCUAACACGUCGCAUUAAAUUGCAAAAUAAAUCUCUUUGUCGCGACUUAAAAAGCCUACAAAAAAAAAUAAAAUAUAGACCAUUGGGUAUGUUUUUCACUAGUG